UAGAGUUUGAUCAUGGCUCAGGAUUAACGCUGGCGGCGUGCAUGAGACAUGCAAGUCGAACGGACGAUCAGGGCUUGCUCUGAUCGUUAGUGGCGGACGGCUGAGUAACGCGUAGGUGACCUGCCCCGAAGUGGGGGAUAACUGCCCGAAAGGGUGGCUAAUACCGCAUGUGAUCGGUCAUUCAUUUGAUUGAUCAAAGCAGCAAUGCGCUUUGGGAGGGGCCUGCGUCCGAUUAGCUCGUUGGUGGGGUAAUGGCUCACCAAGGCGACGAUCGGUAGGUGGUCUGAGAGGACGAUCACCCAGACUGGGACUGAGACACGGCCCAGACUCCUACGGGAGGCAGCAGUCGGGAAUUUUGCGCAAUGGACGAAAGUCUGACGCAGCAACGCCGCGUGAGGGAUGAAGGCCUUCGGGUUGUAAACCUCUUUUUCCAGGGAAGAUAAUGACGGUACCUGGCGAAUAAGUCACGGCUAACUACGUGCCAGCAGCCGCGGUAA
rnacentral:rRNA from 1 species